GAGCAAAUAUGGAUGACGGUGAGCAGCUGUCGGCAGAGUAGAACUUGGACAAACUGCGCAAACUGGUAGGAUUCCUUACGGUACAUUACCAUUUUAACAAACAGUGAUAGGAGUGAUAACAGACCCAAUCUGUCGUGGAUGCAAUGACGAAGAGCAAACAACUGAGCACAUUCUUCAUGAGUGUCCAGCGCUAACCUCCUACAGGAAACCCAUACUAGGGGACAUCUGGCCUAAUAUGGCAAAAAUCAGGGAGUUCCCACUCUCUCCAUUACUCAGCAUAUCAAUACCUCUGGAGGACAGAUCAAGUUUAACUACUGACAGCUCAUUCCUAACAGCAAUUAGAACACCACCACCCCUUGUUAUAGUCAAUUGCUCAAAUUUCCUAUCAGAUCUAAAAACCUCAAAGCUAUCAGGGCAAACCUCAGUGUUAACGACCGAGUCAUUGAGCCAUGUUUCAGAGAGAGACACAAGAUGACAGUCACACGAAAUUAAGGAAUUAUCCAGCUCAAUU